GCGCCCAGAUGGGCGGAGUAACCUCCGCUCUCCUAAAGCGGGUGCCGCAGGUUCGAAUCCUGCCGGGGGCGCCA
rnacentral:tRNA from 1 species